rnacentral:rRNA from 1 species
AGCGAACGCUGGCGGCAGGCCUAACACAUGCAAGUCGAACGAACCUUUCGGGGUUAGUGGCGGACGGGUGAGUAACACGUGGGAACGUGCCUUUAGGUUCGGAAUAACUCAGGGAAACUUGUGCUAAUACCGAAUGUGCCCUUCGGGGGAAAGAUUUAUCGCCUUUAGAGCGGCCCGCGUCUGAUUAGCUAGUUGGUUGAGGUAAUGGCUCACCAAGGCGACGAUCAGUAGCUGGUCUGAGAGGAUGAUCAGCCACAUUGGGACUGAGACACGGCCCAAACUCCUACGGGAGGCAGCAGUGGGGAAUCUUGCGCAAUGGGCGAAAGCCUGACGCAGCCAUGUCGCGUGAAUGAUGAAGGUCUUAGGAUUGUAAAAUUCUUUCACCGGGGACGAUAAUGACGGUACCCGGAGAAGAAGCCCCGGCUAACUUCGUG